rnacentral:tRNA from 1 species
GGAUAGCUCAGUUGGUUAGAGCAUGGUGCUAAUAACAGCAGGGUUGCAGGCUUGAUCUCUGUAUGGGGCAGCU